rnacentral:tRNA from 1 species
UAUAUUUAAGUAUAUGAUGUAUAAAAAUUUUUGAUAUUUUAGGCAAUGGUUUAAUCCCAUUAAAUAUAA